rnacentral:lncRNA from 1 species
GGCUGUUACCCCACCGCCCGGCAGCUCCAUGGUGAUGCUGCAGAUGACGUCGCCCUCUACCUGUCAGCAGCCGCGAGCGCCGUCCCCGUGCCACAGAAAACAAAGCGCCCACCAUCACAAGCAUAACAGCGGGCCGGAGCACCAGCGCCCCCGCAGGACGGCACAGGAGCUGCAGCUGCCCCUGGACAACACGCAGAGCAGCCUGCCCUCGUCCCCAGCGCUCACCCCUUCUCCUGGACAAUCCCACAGCAGCAUCAAGGCCAUGCCGACCGGACUGCCCCCCAUCCCGCUCAUGGCCCACCCCCACGCAGCGCACCCCCACCUCGCGCACCCCCACCACCCAAUGCUGCCUACUGCCUUCUGCCACCCUGGACAAGGUGAGCCGCAUUACUCGCUUCUGGGGCAGCCGCUCCAGUACAAGCCCUCCAUCAGACCUCCGCUGCUCCACGCCGCACAUAUGGUCACCAAACACCAGGCUCCGCUGGGGAUGUGGCGUAGCAGUCACGGGAGGAGAGCCAGCCGCAAACCUGUGUCUUCAGAUCUGAGUUGAACAUCCCGACGGCGGGGGUGACGAGACCUCCUGCGGGUAUUGACGAGGCAAACCAAAACCUACCGAAUUCACCGGCAAAAAAAAGAAUAGCGACGCAUCGGGGACGCAUCGGGAUUUCGGCCGUUAAGUUCGCCGGCGAAGAAAGGGGGCAGAUAUGGACUAUUUUGUAGCUGCUAAAAUAUUUCACUACACCCAUCCUCUCUGUCACUUGCAACGAAUGUUUACUGUUAAUUUAUUUUAUGGUUUUCAAAUAACCAAGCACCACCGGUUUCCAAAAUGGCCACUACAUAAUGUAAAAUUCUGCCUUUUCUUUUAUUCGGGUUUCCUUUUGUUUUCGUUCCAGCAAGGAGGAGUUUGAAAACGUUGCCACUGUUAAAAAAAAACUGAGUGAUAAUAUUUUUGCAUUUAAAUUUUCCUAUAUCUAUAAUAUAUAUAUUGUUACAAAAAGUGUGCUUAUUUUUACUUUCGUUUUAUUCCUUCGCCUUCAUCAACCUGGCAAUGUUAAAAAAUUAUUGUAAUAGUUCGUGCCACCAAAUGUUCACAGCAUUACAACCAGGCCAUCGAGAUCUCAAAAGAAAGCUUCGAUAUAUUGUCAUUUUAGGCUCCACGAAUGUUGUUUUUGCACUGACGGAGGUUCGGAGACGUGUUUGUUGCACUUACCCAGGCGACUUUGUUUUAUAUUUAAAUUAAAAAUGUUUAUAUAUGCACAAAGAAAAUGCAAUGCUGUGUGUCUUUUGUUUGAUUUUUCUUGGCAAAAGUAACUGGAGGUGCCCCAUGUAAGGUGUGACUUAGGCUAUGUAUAAUGUCUAACGCCAAUAAAACUUUGCACCACGUGUGUUAACUUAAACAUGACUAUAUAAUAAUGAAAAAUAGGCCUAUGCAUAUGAAGAUGAGGCAUGUAAUUCAAUGUCGCGUUGGUGAAAUGGAUG